GAUGAACGCUGGCGGCGUGCCUAAUACAUGCAAGUCGAGCGAACAGACGAGGAUCUUGCUCCUCUGACGUUAGCGGCGGGCGGGUGAGUAACACGUGGAUCACCUACCUAUAAUACUGGGAUAACUUCGGGAAACCGGAGCUAAUACCGGAGGAUAUAUUGAACCGCAUUGUGCAAUGGUGAAAUACGGUUGUUCGGUCACUUAUAGAUGGAUCCGCGCCGCAUUGGCUAGUUGGGAGGGUAACGGCUUACCAAGGCAACGAUGCGUAGCCGACGUGAGAGGGUGAUAGGCCACACUGGAAGUGGGACACGGUCCAGACUCCUACGGGAGGCCGCAGUAGGGAACCGUACGCAAUGGGCGAAAGCCUGACGGAGCAACGCCGCGUGAGAGAUGAAGGUGUCCGGAUCGUAAAGAUCUGUUAUUAGGGAAGAACAAAUGUGUAAGUAAAUAUGCACGUAUUGACGGUAACUAAUCAGAAAGCAACGGCUAACUACGUG
rnacentral:rRNA from 1 species